CGGAUCGCAGGCUGCAACUCGCCUGCAUGAAGUCGGAAUUGCUAGUAAUCGCGGAUCAGCAUGCCGCGGUGAAUACGUUCCCGGGCCUUGUACACACCGCCCGUCACACCAUGGGAGCCGGUAAUACCCGAAGUCAGUAGUCCAACCUCGUGAGGACGCUGCCGAAGGUAGGAUUGGCGACUGGGGUGAAGUCGUAACAAGGUAGC
rnacentral:rRNA from 1 species